AGAAAAUCUUAGAAAUUAUUUAGGAAAUAUAAGGAACUAUUAGAAAUAUUUAGAUGUGUGUGAUUGUAUUGUAUUGUUUUGAUCUUACGUGGUAGGUCUGGUCGGGGUUACUCCUGCGUUGCUGGACCCAACAAUAGACUCGGGUCACCGGUCCUUCCUUGCGAAGGUUCAGCACCAAGAACUAAACGUGCUGCGUCCACGUCCACCUGCAGAGUUGGUUCCUGUAGACCCAUGAUGGGUGCCCAGGCUGAGCGAGGCAUGUCUUCUCAUUGUGGCUCGUCUUGCUGAGAGUGCUUUGGUGAAGCUAGACAGGUCUCUACUUUCAGCUCUCGUUGACACAUGGAGACCUGAGACACACACGUUCCACCUCCCUUGUGGGGAGAUGGCACCGACCCUGCAGGACGUUGCGAUGCUGCUUGGUCUUUCUAUCACCGGAGACGCUGUCGGGCCCCGCGUGGUACCUUCUACGUGGCUGGAGGAUCUUGUGGAACGUUUUGUAGGUGUUGCCACCACGAUUGAUCCUGAAGAUUUCAAUGAGCACCCACAGUCGAAAGGUCCUUCCAAGUCAUGGCUCCUACAGUUUCAGGUACAAUUUCGUACAAAACGAUGUGUUGAUGUAUUUUAUGGCUUUGAAAUACCUCAUGUGUUUCUUAUUAUCAAUGUUCGUACUUCAUUG